GAUGAACGCUAGCGGCAGGCCUAACACAUGCAAGUCGAGGGGUAGAGUUCUUCGGAACUUGAGACCGGCGCACGGGUGCGUAACGCGUAUGCAAUCUACCUUAUACAGGGGAAUAGCCCAGAGAAAUUUGGAUUAAUGCCCCAUGGUAUUAUAGAGUGGCAUCACUUUAUAAUUAAAGUUCCAACGGUAUAAGAUGAGCAUGCGUCCCAUUAGUUAGUUGGUAAGGUAACGGCUUACCAAGACAAUGAUGGGUAGGGGUCCUGAGAGGGAGAUCCCCCACACUGGUACUGAGACACGGACCAGACUCCUAACGGGAGGCAGCAGUGAGGAAUAUUGGUCAAUGGGCGCAAGCCUGAACCAGCAAUGCCGCGUGCAGGAAGAAGGCCUUCGGGUUGUAAACUGCUUUUGUACGGAACGAAAAGGCUCUGGUUAAUACCUGGGGCUCAUGACGGUACCGUAAGAAUAAGCACCGGCUAACUACGUG
rnacentral:rRNA from 1 species